rnacentral:rRNA from 1 species
AUACUGGGGGAUAACACUUAGAAAUAGGUGCUAAUACCGCAUAAGCGCACAGCUUCGCAUGAAGCAGUGUGAAAAACUCCGGUGGUAUACGAUGGAUCCGCGUCUGAUUAGCUGGUUGGCGGGGUAACAGCCCACCAAGGCGACGAUCAGUAGCCGGCCUGAGAGGGUGAACGGCCACAUUGGGACUGAGACACGGCCCAAACUCCUACGGGAGGCAGCAGUGGGGAAUAUUGCACAAUGGGGGAAACCCUGAUCCAGCGACGCCGCGUGAGUGAAGAAGUAUUUCGGUAUGUAAAGCUCUAUCAGCAGGGAAGAAAGAAAUGACGGUACCUGAGUAAGAAGCCCCGGCUAACUACGUGCCAGCAGCCGCGGUAAUACGUAGGGGGCAAGCGUUAUCCGGAAUUACUGGGUGUAAAGGGAGCGUAGUCGGUAAUGCAAGUCUGGAGUGAAAGGCGGGGGCCCAACCCCCGGACUGCUCUGGAAACUGUGUAACUGGAGUGCAGGAGAGGCAGGCGGAAUUCCUAGUGUAGCGGUGAAAUGCGUAGAUAUUAGGAGGAACACCAGUGGCGAAGGCGGCUUACUGGACUGUAACUGACGUUGAGGCUCGAAAGCGUGGGAGCAAACAGGAUUAGAUACUCCUGGUAGUCCACGCCGUAACGAUGAUCACUAGGUG